rnacentral:lncRNA from 1 species
GAGGAAAAGAUGCAUGUAUCGUACUCGAGGAUGCCGACUUGGAUUUGGUUGCUGCAAACAUAAUAAAAGGAGGAUUUUCUUACAGGUAAAAAAAUAAGACUUGCUUGUUCUCACUUCUACUAGACAUUUAACAUGGUGUUUAACUCUUUUUUGCUUGUACAACUACUACCACAGUGGUCAAAGAUGCACGGCUGUCAAGGUUGUGUUAGUGAUGGAAUCUGUUGCUGAUGUUCUGGUGGAGAAGUUGAAGGCAAAAGUGGUGAAAUUAACGGUUGGGGCACCGGAGGAUGACUGCGAUAUCACUCCUGUGGUGUCGGAGUCGUCGGCUAAUUUCAUCGAAGGACUGGUGAAAGAUGCCAAAGAGAAAGGAGCUACAUUUUGUCAAGAGUACAAGAGAGAUGGCAAUCUUAUAUGGCCAUUGUUGUUAGACAAUGUUCGACCCGAUAUGAGGAUCGCAUGGGAGGAACCGUUUGGUCCGGUUUUACCGGUUAUAAGGAUCAACUCCAUUGAGGAAGGUAUCCACCACUGCAAUGCUAGCAACUUUGGACUCCAAGGAUGUGUCUUCACAAAGGAUGUCAAUAAAGCAAUAUUGAUCAGUGAUGCAAU